GGAAGCGUGGCAGAGUGGUUUAAUGCAGCGGUCUUGAAAACCGUCGUGGGUUAGGCCCACCGUGAGUUCGAAUCUCACCGCUUCCGCCA
rnacentral:tRNA from 10 species